AGUGAACGCUGGCGGUAGGCCUAACACAUGCAAGUCGAACGGCAGCACAGUAAGAGCUUGCUCUUACGGGUGGCGAGUGGCGGACGGGUGAGGAAUACAUCGGAAUCUACUUUUUCGUGGGGAUAACGUAGGGAAACUUACGCUAAUACCGCAUACGACCUACGGGUGAAAGCAGGGGAUCUUCGGACCUUGCGCGAUUGAAUUAGCCGAUGUCGGAUUAGCUAGUUGGCGGGGUAAAGGCCCACCAAGGCGACGAUCCGUAGCUGGUCUGAGAGGAUGAUCAGCCACACUGGAACUGAGACACGGUCCAGACUCCUACGGGAGGCAGCAGUGGGGAAUAUUGGACAAUGGGCGCAAGCCUGAUCCAGCCAUACCGCGUGGGUGAAGAAGGCCUUCGGGUUGUAAAGCCCUUUUGUUGGGAAAGAAAAGCAGCAGGUUAAUACCCCGCUGUUCUGACGGUACCCAAAGAAUAAGCACCGGCUAACUUCGUG
rnacentral:rRNA from 1 species